GCGGGGCACUCCAAGCACAGGCUGUCGGACGCCUCGGACUUGAAGAAUCCCGGCGAGCAGGCUGGCGGAAACGGCCAGAGCUCCCCACCUCGGAGCGAAGGGAUGAGCAACAUUCUGAAACAAACCCCAAGAGAGGGGAGAUGGAGCCCCACCUUUGUCAACAGCCAGAAAACCCCAAGACUAACUUCAGAGCUCCUGGGGUGCGUGUGCGGUACCCCUAACACAGGCUUCUCAAACCAGCUCCACUCAAAACAAAAAUAGCUCUCCCCGCCCCCAAAUCGGCAAGUAAAAAUGAGACUCCAGAAAGCAGGGCUGUGUUUG